rnacentral:rRNA from 1 species
UCAGAGCAGAAUGGAUUAAGAGCUUGCUCUUAUAGAAGUUAGCGGCGGACGGGUGAGUAACACGUGGGUAACCUGCCCAUAAGACUGGGAUAACUCCGGGAAACCGGGGCUAAUACCGGAUAACAUUUUGAACCGCAUGGUUCGAAAUUGAAAGGCGGCUUCGGCUGUCACUUAUGGAUGGACCCGCGUCGCAUUAGCUAGUUGGUGAGGUAACGGCUCACCAACGCACCGAUGCGUAGCUGA